AGUUGUAGAAUCACUGGUGAAUAAGGGGUGGGCAAGUUCUGGUGUCAGCCGCCGCGGUAAAACCAGCACCUCGAGUGGUCAGGAGGUUUAUUGGGCCUAAAGCAUCCGUAGCCGGUUGCAUAAGUUUUCGGUUAAAUCUAUGCGCUUAACGUAUAGGCCGCCGAAAAUACUGUGCAGCUAGGGAGUGGGAGAGGUACACGGUACUCGAUAGGAAGGGGUAAAAUCCUUUGAUCUAUUGAUGACCACCUGUGGCGAAGGCGGUGUACCAGAACACGUUCGACGGUGAGGGAUGAAAGCUGGGGGAGCAAACCGGAUUAGAUACCCGGGUAGUCCCAGCUGUAAACGAUGCAGACUCGGUGAUGUAUUAGCUUGUGGCCAAUGCAGUGCCGCAGGGAAGCCGUUAAGUCUGCCGCCUGGGAAGUACGUACGCAAGUAUGAAACUUAAAGGAAUUGGCGGGGGAGCACCACAAGGGGUGAAGCCUGCGGUUCAAUUGGAGUCAACGCCAGAAAUCUUACCUGGGGAGACAGCAGAAUGAAGGUCAAGCUGAAGACUUUACCAGACACGCUGAGAGGUGGUGCAUGGCCGUCGCCAGCUCGUGCCGUGAGAUGUCCUGUUAAGUCAGGUAACGAGCGAGACCCCUGCGUCUAGUUGCUACCAUUACUCUCUGGAGCAGUGGAGCGAAUUAGACGGACCGCCACAGUUAAUGUGGAGGAAGGAAGGGGCCACGGCAGGUCAGUAUGCCCCGAAACCCUAGGGCUACACGCGGGCUGCAAUGGUAUUGACAUGUGUUCCGAAUCCGAAAGGAGGAGGCAAUCAUCAAACAUAUCUCAGUUAUGACUGAGGGC
rnacentral:rRNA from 1 species